rnacentral:rRNA from 1 species
UACGUAGGCAGCAAGCGUUGUUCGGAGUUACUGGGCGUAAAGGGUGCGUAGGCGGUUGUUUAAGUUUGGUGUGAAAUCUCCCGGCUCAACUGGGAGGGUGCGCCGAAUACUGAAUGACUAGAGUGCGGGAGAGGAGAGUGGAAUUCCUGGUGUAGCGGUGAAAUGCGUAGAUAUCAGGAGGAACACCGGUGGUGUAGACGGCUCUCUGGACCGUAACUGACGCUGAGGCACGAAAGCGUGGGUAGCAAACGGG